AUCUCUAUCUGGAGAUCACUACUCUUGGAGCCCUUCUACAAGCACAGGAUAUGGAAAUGAUAUUGGUUAAGAGCAGCUGGAUAACAGCAGAUCAGCAGUUUCUCUCUGUCAUUUUUUCUGAUCAAGUCUGAUGAAGUAGGAAAAUGUUCAAAAUGAGGAUGAGGAAAAUGUAGAGACAAAAUGUAUACUGACCUUUAGUGGAUGCAGCUGGCAUUUCUAGGCAAACUAAGCCACAGUAGGUGGGAAGCCACAGAUAUUCAAUGUACUCUUCCUGAGCUGUGUGAGACACUUCUAUGGAUAAAGACUUUAGGGAUGAGGAAUUUUCUAAAUGGGUAUGAUUGGACUGAAUCAGUGCUACGUCUGAUCCAGACUCAGAGUGGAAUACAGGACUUUCAGUGGUUAUUAAUUCAAACUCAGCAGGCCUCUGAAUCAGACAAAGUGUUUAAUGUAUGUUUUACAGCACCACUUCUGUUAAGCUAUUAAUUGAACUAUUUGUAGAAUCUAUGCAGAAUAAAACUUGGGACUGAUG
ensembl:lncRNA